rnacentral:rRNA from 1 species
CCUACGGGGGGCAGCAGUGGGGGAUAUUGCACAAUGGGGGGAACCCUGAUGCAGCGACGCCGCGUGGGUGAAGGAGCGUUUCGGCGCGUAAAGCCCUAUCGGCAGGGAAGAAGAUGACGGUACCUGACCAAGAAGCCCCGGCUAACUACGUGCCAGCAGCCGCGGUAAUACGUAGGGGGCAAGCGUUAUCCGGAUUUAUUGGGUUUAAAGGGUGCGUAGGCGGACGGUCAAGUCAGCGGUAAAAAUGCGGUGCUCAACGCCGUACAGCCGUUGAAACUGGCAGUCUUGAGUGGGCGAGAAGUAUG